CCGUGUGGGUGCAGCACUGUUCCUCCUCUCUGAGGCUUUUCCCUCAGCUUUCCAGCCAGCUGCCUGUGACAUAGCCUGUAUUUUCCUCUGGGUGAUCCACAGGCCUGGGAGGAUUAAUUUGUGGAUCAAUCUUCCUGUCCUACAACUGACAAAGGAUCCCCUAAAGACCCCUGGAAGGCUGGACCAUGGCACAAGAACUGCCUUCAUCCAUCACCGGGAGCAAGUGUGGAAGAGAUGCAUCAACAUUUGGCGUGAUGUGGGCCUUUUUGGGGUGCUAAAUGAAAUUGCAAACUCAGAAGAAGAGGUGUUUGAGUGGGUGAAGACGGCAUCCGGCUGGGCCCUGGCACUCUGUCGAUGGGCCUCUUCCCUCCAUGGGUCCCUGUUCCCCCAUCUGUCUCUCAGGAGCGAAGAUCUGAUCGCUGAAUUUGCCCAAGUCACAAAUUGGUCCAGCUGCUGCUUGCGUGUCUUUGCAUGGCACCCCCACACCAACAAGUUUGCAGUGGCCCUGCUAGAUGACUCAGUCCGUGUGUAUAAUGCCAGCAGCACCAUAGUCCCCUCCCUGAAGCACCGGCUGCAGCGAAAUGUGGCGUCUCUGG
rnacentral:misc_RNA from 1 species